rnacentral:rRNA from 1 species
GUUUGAUCCUGGCUCAGGAUUAACGCUGGCGGCAUGCCUAACACAUGCAAGUCGAAUGCGCUUCGGGCGCAUGGCGGACGGCUGAGUAACGCGUGGGUAUCUACCUUUAAGUUGAGGAUAACCUCGGGAAACCGAGGAUAAUACUCAAUAGUCCCUUCGGGGUAAAGAUUUAUCGCUUAAAGAGGAGCCUGCGUUCGAUUAGCUUGUUGGUGAGGUAACGGCUCACCAAGGCUCUGAUCGAUAGGGGACCUGAGAGGGUGACCCCCCAGACUGGGACUGAGACACGGCCCAGACUCCUACGGGAGGCAGCAGUGGGGAAUUUUGCACAAUGGGCGAAAGCCUGAUGCAGCAAUGCCGCGUGGAGGAAGACGGUCUUCGGAUUGUAAACUCCUUUUUUCUGGGAAGAUUAUGACGGUACCAGAAGAAUAAGAGCUUGCUAACUACGUACCAGCAGCAGCGGUAAUACGUAGAGCUCGAGCGUUAUCCGGAUUGAUUGGGCGUAAAGGGUCCGUAGGCGGAUUUAUAAGUCUGAUGUUAAAUACUCCGGCUCAACCGGAGAAAAGUGUCGGAAACUAUAAGUCUAGAGGUCGGGAGAGGUUGAUGGAACUUCUGGAGUAGGGGUAAUAUCCGUAGAUACCAGAAGGAACACCCAAGGCGAAGGCAGUCAACUGGCCCGAUUCUGACGCUCAGGGACGAAAGCGUGGGGAGCGAACGGGAUUAGAUACCCCGGUAGUCCACGCCGUAAACUAUGGAUACUAGGCAUUGGUGGCAUCGACCCCCUCAGUGCCGAAGCUAACGCGUUAAGUCUCCUGCCUGGGGAGUACGGUCGCAAGACUAAAACUCAAAGGAAUUGACGGGGAGCCGCACAAGCGGUGGAGCAUGUGGUUUAAUUCGAUGCUAAGCGGAGCACCUCACCCAGACUUGACAUCCUGGUGAAAUCUUUAAGAAAUUUUAGACCUCCUUUAGGACAGCAGUGACAGGUGCUGCACGGUCGUCGUCAGCUCGUGUCGUGAGAUGUACGGUUAAGUCCGAUAACGAGCGCAACCCCUAUGCUGUGUUGUAUUUUUCACAGCAGACUGCCAUGGUUAACAUGGAGGAAGGUGGGGAUGACGUCAGAUCUGCGUGGCCCUUAUGUCUGGGGCAACACACGUGCUACAAUGGGCGGGUCACAAUGGGUUGCUAAAUCGCAAGAUGGAGCUAAUCCCAACAAAACCGUCCUCAGUUCGGAUUGGAGGCUGCAACUCGCCUCCAUGAAGUUGGAAUCGCUAGUAACCGUAAAUCAGCUCGUUACGGUGAAUACGUUCUCGGCUCUUGUACACACCGCCCGUCAUACCACGAAAGCGAGGGGCAUCCGAAAUCUCUAUUUAUAGGGCCUAAGGUGAAACUCGUGAUUGGGGUAAAGUCGUAACAAGGUAGCCG